rnacentral:rRNA from 1 species
AUGAACGCUGGCGGCGUGCCUAAUACAUGCAAGUCGAGCGAACAGACGAGGAGCUUGCUCCUCUGACGUUAGCGGCGGACGGGUGAGUAACACGUGGAUAACCUACCUAUAAGACUGGGAUAACUUCGGGAAACCGGAGCUAAUACCGGAUAAUAUAUUGAACCGCAUGGUUCAAUAGUGAAAGACGGUUUUGCUGUCACUUAUAGAUGGGUCCGCGCCGCAUUAGCUAGUUGGUAAGGUAACGGCUUACCAAGGCAACGAUGCGUAGCCGACCUGAGAGGGUGAUCGGCCACACUGGAACUGAGACACGGUCCAGACUCCUACGGGAGGCAGCAGUAGGGAAUCUUCCGCAAUGGGCGAAAGCCUGACGGAGCAACGCCGCGUGAGUGAUGAAGGUCUUCGGAUCGUAAAACUCUGUUAUUAGGGAAGAACAAAUGUGUAAGUAACUAUGCACGUCUUGACGGUACCUAAUCAGAAAGCCACGGCUAACUACGUG